rnacentral:rRNA from 1 species
AUGAACGCUAGCUACAGGCUUAACACAUGCAAGUCGAGGGGAAACGACAUCGACAGCUUGCUUUUGAUGGGCGUCGACCGGCGCACGGGUGAGUAACGCGUAUCCAACCUGCCCAUCACUUGGGAAUAACCUUGCGAAAGUAAGACUAAUACCCAAUGAUAUCCCAUGAAGGCAUCGGAAUGGGAUUAAAGAUUUAUCGGUGAUGGAUGGGGAUGCGUCUGAUUAGCUUGUUGGCGGGGUAACGGCCCACCAAGGCAACGAUCAGUAGGGGUUCUGAGAGGAAGGUCCCCCACAUUGGAACUGAGACACGGUCCAAACUCCUACGGGAGGCAGCAGUGAGGAAUAUUGGUCAAUGGGCGAGAGCCUGAACCAGCCAAGUAGCGUGCAGGAAGACGGCCCUAUGGGUUGUAAACUGCUUUUAUAAGGGAAUAAAGUGGGUCACGUGUGACUUUUUGCAUGUACCUUAUGAAUAAGGACCGGCUAAUUCCGUG